rnacentral:rRNA from 1 species
AUUGAACGCUGGCGGCAUGCUUUACACAUGCAAGUCGAACGGUAACAGGUUAAGCUGACGAGUGGCGAACGGGUGAGUAAUGCAUCGGAACGUGCCCGGUCGUGGGGGAUAACGCAGCGAAAGCUGCGCUAAUACCGCAUACGAUCUAAGGAUGAAAGCGGGGGACCGUAAGGACUCGCGCGAUGGGAGCGGCCGAUGUCAGGUUAGGUAGUUGGUGGGGUAAAGGCUCACCAAGCCAACGAUCUGUAGCUGGUCUGAGAGGACGACCAGCCACACUGGGACUGAGACACGGCCCAGACUCCUACGGGAGGCAGCAGUGGGGAAUUUUGGACAAUGGGCGAAAGCCUGAUCCAGCAAUGCCGCGUGCAGGAAGAAGGCCUUCGGGUUGUAAACUGCUUUUGUACGGAGCGAAAAGGUCUCCUCUAAUACAGGGGGCUCAUGACGGUACCGUAAGAAUAAGCACCGGCUAACUACGUGCCAGCCGCCGCGGUAA